ensembl:snRNA U4 U4 spliceosomal RNA
AGCUUUGCGCAGUGGCAGUAUCAUAGCCAAUGAGGCCUACCUGAGGCACUAUUAUUGCUAAUUGAACACUUUUCCCAAUACCCUGCCAUGACGACUUGAAAUAUAGUCAGCAUUGGCAAUUUUUGGCAGUCUCUACGGGGG